AUUGAACGCUGGCGGCAGGCCUAACACAUGCAAGUCGAGCGGAGCGGCGGACAGGUGAGUAAUGCCUAGGAAUCUGCCUGGUAGCGGGGGAUAACGUUCGGAAACGGGCGCUAAUACCGCACACUAACAGAUGAGCCUAGGUCGGAUUAGCUCGUUGGAGUGGGAAGGGCCUACCAAAGCGACGAUCCGUAACUGGGCUGAGUGGAGGAUCAGUCCCACUGGAACGGAGACACGGUCCAGACUCCUACGGGAGGCAUCAGUGGGGAAUAUAGGACAAGGGACGAAAGCCUGACCCAGCCAUGCCGCGUGUGUGAAGAAGGUCUUCGGAUUGGAAAGCACUUUAAGUUGGGAGGCGUUACCAACAGAAUAAGCACCGGCUAACUUCGUGCCAGCCGCCGCGGUAAUAC
rnacentral:rRNA from 1 species